AUGUGCCCUGCCCCGCGCAUGGGCUGGCCCAACAGGGCACGCAUGGAGGCGCGAGGUUUUCACUGUUGUUACCUCGACCAACUGCCUAGCUGUGGAUGUGCAACUUCGGAUGCUACCCCGACCAACUGUCCAAUAGUCGACAUGCAACUUCCUCCCGUACCAUAUGGAAGUGUAGUUUUCACUUCUAGACCCAUGUCCCAACCACCCCUUAAAUCCGAAAUAAAUGCAAAUGGAUCUGUUUCCCCCAACCCGAAUGGUCAGUUGUCUAUGGCGUCUGAGGUCGGGCGUUUCCUAUUUAGCGCUGCAGGCGCCCGUUUGUGUGCAUUUCACAAACUGGCGCUUGCAGCGCCUCAUGCCAGGCCGGCCCAUAACCCAAAAAAAGAUGGAGCAGGUUGCGACUCGAACAUGGGACCUGGCUCGCCGCUAAAUGCUUGUGUUACCACCCUGCCACGCAGCAGAAAACCCCUGCAUUUAUUAGUUUUCAGCCCCUUCCCCAGUUUCCCCUCUGCCCCGACUAAAAAAAUCCCCUCUGCGCCGGCCGGCGCUCGACGGCCCGAUUCAGCGCCUUCCGCCGGAGACCGCCCGCCGCCGACGAGGGGCACGCCGGUGAUCUCCCCCAGCCCGCCUGCCCCUCUUUCAUCUCCGUUCUACUCCUUCUCUCUCGGCCCCCUCGAGCUCGCCUCGAUCCAUGGCCUCUCCUUAAACCUAGCUCCAGUCACGGCCACGACCGGCUUCGCAGCUCCCGGCCGCCAUCGCCUGCGCCUUCCCCCGUGUCUCCCUCACCUCGCCUGUGCAGCACCGUGGUUGUACAUCGCCAGCGCCAUCAGCUACAGCCCCGCUCUAAUCCACCUGCAAGCCAUGGACAGCGGCCUGGCUGCUCACUCGUCGCUGGCCUACCAGUACCUCCACCAACAUCUCAUCCAUCUAGAUCAGGGGCGCUUUAAUUUCAGCAGAUUUUCUUCUUCUUUGCAACAUGAUGUUUUCCUAUGCCUUGAGGAGUUGUUGAUGGAUGAUAUACAUAGGCUACCAGGUGGUAGCUCCAAUGUUGCAACUGAGGUCAGCAAUGGGUGCUUCUCCUGGGAUGGCUCACUUGAGAUACCAACAUUGAAGGAUCUGAAUUUUCAAGCUCGGCAAGGGAUGCGUGUUGCACUUUGUGGGACGCUAUUAGGAGAGGCCAAGACUUGCGGAACAAUGGCAUAUGUCAGCCACAAGGCAUGGAUACAGAGCGGCAAAAUUCAGGAUAACAUACUGCUCGGCAAGGAGAUGGAGAGUGAGGAGUAUGGCAGGGUCCUUGAGUGUUAUGAACUGCAUUGCACGUGCAUGAAGGCGAAUGAUUUUUCUGGAUGCCAUUGCCAUCUGAUCGAUGGUUUCGCCGCGGUCGUCGGGAGAAAUAUCAUCGACGGUAGGGGAAAAGCGGGUAGGCUGAGGCGGGCACCCACACCAAGCGGCCGACCCACGAAGGCGGCCAUGCAGCUCCGCCUCGUGCCUCUCUCCCCAUCUUUAUGUUCGUGUCAAACCCAGCGCAAGGUAGAGGCAGAAGAGGAGGCCGGGAAGAGAAGCUGCAAGAGAAAGUUGUUGAAGUGGAAGAAGUACUACCUCGCCCAGCCGCGCAUCCAAGACGCGACGCUUGCUGGAAAGCUGGUCAAGUAG
rnacentral:rRNA from 1 species